UUUUUUUUUUUUUUUCCAUUACCAGAGCAGAUUUCUUGUCUGUCUGUGACACAGACAGCAGUAACAGCACAUGACAAUGAUCCAUGGCACUCUAGGACAAAAUAAGUAAAGAAAAGAGCUCAUUCUAGAAAUUAAAUGAAACUUUAGGAGGUUUUAGGUGAGAUGGUGAUAAAAUACCUUAAGCAUGAAAACAAACAUUGGGAUAGGGUAGCAGUCUUUUGGGAAAAGACACUGAAUUACACAAUCCAUCCCAAAGGCAAAUCCCAAUGUCGGCUGCUUUCUGAUUCAUCCACAGAUAGUACCAGCAGCAUCAGGGCACACUGAAGCACACAGGAGUAAAGCCAGUUGUCUCCCAAGAACUAUCCCCACUGCAAUAUUCAAGGGUUUCCCCCCUCCACCCCCCCUCAAAAAAUCUGCAAUUCAAAAACUAAAUUUGCCCCUGAACUGCUUAAUCUGCAAGCUCCAGAGAUCUCCCUGCCAUGGGUGCACAGGCAACAGAUGUUCAGAAGCCAAGCUGGCACCUUGCACACCUGAACGUGUGGCUGGGAGCAAGACAGAAAGGAUGCACAUAGCCUGGGAACAUCUGAUAAGGCCGUGCCCUUCAGAGCCUGCACAGCGGGGAAGGGGCAGGAGAGAGGCUCAGAAAUCACCAGAAGCUUUCUUCUUCUUCCAUGAGUCACUCCUGCUUCAAGGAGCUGCAGCUUUGAUUAUUAACUGGGCUACUCAGCUAGAUAUUUAAAUGAUUCCCAAAAGUCAUUAAGAGCCCAAUCAGAUAUGCAGUGCUUGACUCUAGCACAGGAAUGCAGAGAGGGAAUUAUUAGCAUAAACUAUGCUUUAGAGAAAACCUCCAUGUAUUUUAUAUUUCAGGGUACAGGAGAAUCUGAUUGAACUGAGUUAAAGAGAAGAAAAAGAAGCUUAAGCAAUUUAAAGGAGCACAUUAAACAUGGAAGGGAGUAAAAAAUAUUAAAUAAAAACAUCAGCUACCUCAGGGAUUAGGAAUAAGAAAACAUAAUGUCAAAGCACUCUUCCUCUCUAUUCUCUAAGCAACAGGCAGCUCCUUUAGAUUUCCCCUGACUUUUCAGAGAGAAAAUUUACUCUCAAAGUCAAAGCAUUGCUGGAAGUUGCAUGCCUGAUCAGGAGAUCUCCUAACCCUGCUGUCCUCUGUCCCAGACUGAGAACACAGAUGUGAGCUGAUGCAAAAAGCAAGGGGAGGGGCAGACACAGAAAGCUUACCUUUAUAUUUAUCUGGCCUCCACUCCAGAGCCAUGACACAGACUCUCCUUCAGCAAAAUCUCAAAGCCAAUCCUCUAUAGAAUGUUUUCUACAGGAUAUACAGUGUGGCAAGAAACCCACUGGAUUUGGUACCAGAACAGAAGCAACACCAGAGAAGGGGCCAUGUCAGAGACAGGCAGAGGGUGACCUAACUUAUCUGCAGCUUUUCUGCUGGUUUGUAACUCACCUCUGUACACCCAACAUAGUUCCUGCCACAUCCUGCAUGGAAUCCAGCUCCUGGGACAGUGAAGUAGCACAGAAAUCUGCAGGGGCUCAUUCAGAGCAAUCAUGCCCAGUAUGUUGCAUCCUUCCUGCUUCAGGUUAAAAUCAGAGCCAAGACAAGAAAAUCUGCAAGACAAAACCUCAUUCAGGGUGAUUGGAAAGAUGGGCUAAGCUUGAACUUUAUAACAGAAGAAGAAAGCAGGUAAAAGUGGUGCUUGCAAAAUUCUGUGGGGGAUCAUCUCUUUAGAAGCAAAGAGCAAUCAGCAACUCACUUCCUAACCCUGCUUUUCAGUAGAAAACUCAAUGGUUUCUCACAAGAAGUCAGUUAAAUAGCAUAACCUGAGGCUGGUCACUGAAACUCUUUAUCCAUCAGUUCCCCCAUCCAUACACUGGGCCUUAAAGUAUUUAACUUUCUUAUUUCCAUCAAGGAAUGGGAGCUGGCAGAUUGAAUGUGCUCAUGCCUACAAUACCUUUCUCAGGAACAGACUGCCAUAAAGAGGGCAAAACUGUAUUGUGACUGUGAUUAGAAACUAAAGUCCUCCCGUGCAGUUAUUUAAUUAAACCAUAAAUACAAACGGAUAAGUGUCUAAUGAGCCAGCUCUACACAGUGUAUUUAUAUUCCUCUGAAAAAGAACAAUGCUUAAACUGGUUGCAAAUAAUAGUCCUCUCUCCCAGCCUGGUUUUCCCUGCAAUCAGGAAUCAGGCUGCACAGUAGUUUGCUGACAAAUUGGUUCAUGUUAUGAAGAUAAUGAAGGCAUCAAAUUACUCUGCACUCCUUCCCCCUGGAAGCAGCGAGGCUGUUGCAGGCAGUGAUUGCCAGGGUUUUAUUUGUGCCUGCAUGUGUGUGUCAUUUGUGAGCAGACAAGCCCCAGAGGCCUGUCAGCCAAGGCAGGAUGGCUCCAGCCAUUGCUUCCUGGCAAACUCUGGUGCUGCACCGACCUUCUGGCUGUGCACUUGUCAGGCUGCCAGGGAGGUGACCAUGGCAAAGAGCCACAGCCUCUGAAAGGCAUUUUCUUCCUCCAGCACCCACAGAGAUGCCCCAGGUUGUUCUAUGAGAGCUUGCAUGGGUACCAGAACCAUUUAGUGGUGCUAGGGCAGCAUUUCUCUACUUCUGGUACACUCAGCUUUCCAGAAACAGAGCCUAAAGCAACAGAACCAGCAAAGCAUUUAACAAAGGAGCUGAGCAAGGUCAUCUCCAGAAGAAAUAAAAUACUUUGGCAGGUUCAUAGUCCUCCUGGACACUGGCUCCGGAUUUUUUUUCUACCUCUCUAUCCCCUUCCACCUGCUAAAAGGGGGUUUUGUCCCCUUCUUUGUAGAGGUUGCUGGAACUCAGGUGGAGAAGGAUAGCAGAGAGGAAAAUAUUUCCAUCCUGAGCUGUUAUUACUAAAUAUAUAAAUAGAUUCUGAAUAGGUAUGAUUUCACUAAACUGGAUCCAAGCAGCUUUUUAAAACCCCUCCAGCCACUAUGAGCACCAACAAGCCAAGAAAAGCUUUUUAGUGAUCAUAACAAAUGUGUUGGGCUUUGCCCUGCAAUUGAUUAGCUUUUGGUAACAUAAGUUAAGCUUUAAAUCUAUAUUUCAUAUAUAAUCAAGCAGCCAAAUCAGCCCUUUAAUAUAAAACCCAGACCAGCCACUGUGUCUUUAUCUCAGAAAGCAGGAGGGCCAACAAAGCUACAGCCAGGGAACUGACAGUUCUUCAUUAUUAUCCUCCCUGAUCGUACCCAUCUUCUCAUCUCCCCUAUCAAAUUUCUGGGCCUUUUUGAUAAAAAAUAAUUUAAGAGUGUGCUCCACAGGAAGCACACGAAGGUUACAGAUUGAGCAAUGCCUGGGAACCCCUCUUUAAAAGGUGCAAACAGCAAAAGGGUCUGAGAACAGGGGCUGCACACAGGGAGCCAGGGUCGGACACUGGGAGAACUCUCUCCCCUUCAGUCACCAAGGGCACCUUCUGCUGCUGGAGCCCAAAUGAGGCUUUGGACUCUCCCUCUCUGGGCACUCAUUGGUGUUGUUUGUUUUCCUCACUCUCUCCCCCUCCUGCAUUUCAAAGCUUCCCAUAUCCCACUCCACACUGCUGAGUCAGGUUGAAGAGGUCUGGUUUUCAACUCUUUCUAAUGAAAAAGGACUUGGGUUGGGUUGGGGUUUGUUUGGAGGGUUCUUUGGUUUUUUUUCCCCCAAAGUACAUUCUUUAGCAAAACAGGCUUCCCUGUUGAUUGGAUUUUUAUUUUCCUUUAAACUGCUCACAGAAUUUUUCUCACCUGCUUUGCUGGGGCUACAGUUUCAUGCUAGAAAUUUGGUGGCAAUUCCAGUUUUGGGGAUUUCUUUCUGAGUGGCUCUGCCUUGCAAUGUGUGAUCCCCUCCGUGUGCUGCUGCAGUGGUCCAUGACAUCAGCCUGGCUGGGGAGCUAACUGAUCCACUGUAACAGGAAACACAAAAGCAGGAUUUUUCUUUUUCUUCUGCAGUUGGGACAGUUCCCUGAGGUAUUUCACUGCACUGCUCUAUAAAACCACAUGGUCACCAUCACAGGGAUGGCUGCUGCAGGCUGGGAAUGCCCCAGACCAUGAUGCCAUUGAGUUCUGCAGAUGAAAGUAGGGCUUGCCUUGGCUGGCUCAUGCCUCCCUCCAUAGUUCUGCAAGUGAAUCAGUGCUGUCUCCAGAUCAGUAAUUAUAUCUAAUAAUAAAACACAGCCAUUUUGGUGAAUCCAGGUUUUUCGUUUAGAUGUCUCUUUUGGGACAUCUCAGAUUCAAGCUUCCCACAAGGAUGAAGGAAAUUUGAGGAUUUGGUUUAGCUGCAUUUCAUAGCCAGCUACAGAAGUGACAAAGGAGUCCACCCACCUAUGAAAGAUAAAAUGGAUUUAUGUCCAAAUUCACUGUUUAGCUCUCUCUGACUGCUCCACAAAUCAGCAUGCUUUUCAGUAGCACAAAUAACCCACAAAUCAGCAUGCAACAGGAAAUUUAGUGUUCAGGCUGGCACCUCCAUCCAUAAUUUGGGCUGUCAAGGGGAAGAAUAGGAGGAAAAGACCUAAAGGGCAUAUUUUGUGUAUCUGGAAAAAAAUGGACAGAAGGUUCUGCCAGUCAUUCACAACCUUAUUCCACAUGGACCACGUCUCUGUUACAGACCAGCAAACUACAGCACUCAUAUUCAAUGGGCUGCAUUCACAAAUGCCAGUCCCUGAAAGCCAGAUCAGCAGAAAGGCAAAGAUUUCUGAGCUUAUCUCUUACCUCUUGUGCCAGUUUCCCACCACUGCAAUUUGCUUCCUGGCCAGUACUUAAAAUUGGGUUACUUUACAGACUUUCUACCUUAGAAUAAUGAUGCAGUGCUGAAGUUAACACUUUGAGAUACCAGGUGGCAACACUAUAAUGCUCUUUUCCCGUGCUGCAGGGUCCCACCAAAAAUGUAUGAGAAAGAAGUGUUUUUCCCUCUAAUGAGAAAAAGGGGUUUAAUUCCAGAUUAUUAUGUUGCAGAGGAACUUUGUUACAGUUUGAGCUUUGCCAGAUUUAGCCUGGACUCUUUAGUUGAAUAAUUUCACAAGAUAUGACAAUUUCAGCACUUCCUAUGCCCCAGGCAAGACCUCCUAACCUGAUAUUCACAGAGGAGUAGAGUUUGCUUGGCUGUUGAAGGUUUUCACAGGUUUUUGUUUUGUUUUGGUUUUUUUAAGCAUAUUUUGAAGCUUUGCCUUGAAGUACCUUGGAAAUGGGUUGACUGGCUGAUGGCUAACACCUGUGAGUCAGGGUGGUGGCGCAGAGUUUCCCAGUUCAAGCCAAAUCAUUUUCUAAAAGAUAUAAGCCAUGAUGAUCAAAAAUGUAUGGAGUCAAUUAGCAACAUACAAUUUUCUCAAGUGAACUUGGAUUUGGGAAACCUCAAUUUUUGGGUUACUAAUUUCAAACAUUUUAAAAUAACUUAGAUGCUUAAAAAGAGGUAUUUUAUACCACUCUCUGAAAGGCACCCCAUGCCAAGAACCCAAAAAAUGAGUGAGUACCCAAAAUUCCUAAGCAUUUUUUUAGAAUCUUAAAACAAAUACGGAGGAGAUUUUUUCAUUUUUGAAGUAAGUAGUACUUAUGGCCCAUAUAUUUGUAUUUCCUAUGAUUCUCCUCAAUGCACCUCCAUCCUGUCCCUGCAGGGUAUUUUGCUUUCCCAGCUCCAGCAGCUUCCCCACACUGCACCAGGACUAUUUCAGGCCAGAUAUAUUCAUGAAAAGUUCUGUCAAGUUCUUGGGAGCAACACAUGGAGGGGGUUUUUGCAAUAUGCCUAAUAGGAUCUAUUACAUAAAAACCAAUGAAAUUCAAUUCAGCUGAAAUAAAAUAAGAAAAGCUUAACCCUGAGGCUUCAGCAUCAAAACAGGGGUGGGUGAGACAAAACCACAAAAAAAACCCAAAAAACAAACAAACAAACAAACAAAACAAAACGAAAAAAAAACAAACAACAAAAACUAAAAGCAAAAAUUACUUUCUUGGUCUUGCUGUUUACAUGUAACCAGCACAAGACUACUCACACUUUAUCUGAGACUUUUUGAGAGAGCUGAGCACUCAAUCAUCAUACAUUGCAUAGAGUCCAGCAUUAACUCCUCUCCUAGGUAGUGAUUAAAACAUACAAAGGCCAUAUAAUUAGCACCUCAACAUGCCUUAUAACUUGCAGUCAUCAUCUCGUAGCUACUAGACAGAGCCACAGACAGCACACACAUCCACCACACACUGUCACCCCCCAGGAACACAAGUUCCUCCUAAGCAAUUAUAUCUGUGUGCCCCCUAAUUCUGAUCUCUUGAGCAUUUAAUGCGUUUGCUCUGGGGUCUACACAAUCCUGCUCUAAUUUUGCCAGGGGCCUUUGUAUCAAAGGCCUGAGCUGUGUGAAAGGUGAUUUAGCAGAGAUGGUGUCGGUGAUUAUUUUCAAAGGAACUGUUGCAGCCCCACCACGAGGGACACUGCAGCCUCCAGAUAGGGGGCCCUUAUCAUAUUUUCUAUUCUCAGAUAAGAUUAUGUUUCCUUUUUUCAUCCUUCUUCCUGAAUGUUCUUGAUAACAAUUGGGGGCCAGUUUAAUCACGGAGGUUGAAAUAACCAAAAGGGUUCCUGGGGUAGUGGUGGGGAGGGCAGGGAACAGGGCCAGGUGUGUGGGGAGAAGAGAGAAACCUCACUGGACAGAAAAGUUGGGUAAGAGCAACUAGGAAAUCAAGCCAGCAGAAAUGGGGUUAUUUCAAAGGGAACAGCUGUUAAACUGCAACCAAACAAAAAGCACAUGCAGCCAAUGUUCUUGUGGUCACCCAUCAAAAACAAAACAAGUUGUUCACGCGCCCAUUCUGUGGUCUAAACAAAUUAGAGUGAAAACGGGACCAGGACAGGGAGAUGGAUGACCUCAAAACAAUGGGGACAGGCCCUUUGUGCAACAGCCCUUUCUGCUGCUGGUAGGGGGCUUCUAAACACUAAUAAUAUCUUUGUGAUAAGAUGAAUGAACCAACUCUGACCCCUGGAGUUUGAUUCUACUUGGACUGAGCAUCAGAGAGCGAAGAGAGCAGUGAGUGCCCUGUGUUACUGCCCCAGAAAAGGAUUCAGACAUGGAGUCAGAGGGGUGCAAGGAGCUCUCCAGCUCUGGCCAAGACUGUCCAUUCCAGGACAACACAGUAAUGUUACAGCAUGGUGAAUCCCCUGGCACAUGUCCAGCGGGGGUUAAAAGUCCAGUCAGUAGUUGAAUGAGACGUUUUAAGAAACACCCAUCCGAACUCCUCCACAGCAACACCAUGUCCUCCAAGUCUGGUCUGAAUCAGCACCUAAAUGUUGCAUCAGAAGGUGCCAGGCUUAGACAGUGGCAGUUGAGGGGCAGAAGGUGGGGUGGGGAGAUAACAUAUUUCAGAUGGGUUAUAAAUCAGAACUGUUCAUCGCCUGUUGCUGUUCAGCAUCCCCCCCCCCCCCCCCAAUCUUUCUCCGUUGCAAAAAACUGAAAAAUCCCAUUGUGCCUUGGCAGCAUUACUCCCAAAAACCCCUCAGUCACCAGUGUCUGUUGUGUCAGUGCCAACAUCCCCACAUGCCAAACCACAGGGGACUGUUGGCCCAUCCCUGUGCAAAAGGAAACCAUUCUGUCCUUAUGGACUGUUUGCAGUGAAAGGCAAAGACUCCAAAGAACCUCUCAAGGCAUGUCCUGCUUUCCCGAGCAUGGAGCCAUUCCCUAGGGGCAGCCUGGACAAGAAGAAACCAUUGAGAUUCUGCCACCACAACAUGACACUGGUGGGGACAGGGCCAGCAAGAGCCAUUCUGGUCAUUGUCCCUGCUCAGACCCAACAAAAAGGUCUGCAUUUCCAACUGCAAUGCUGGAGGCACCUAGAACUGCCCAGGGGCCAGGUCACACACGAGGCUCCCAAACACCUGGGUUCUCCUGGGUUGCAGGAGGCCAUUGUCCAGCUUAUGGCCACGGAUGUCAGAGCUCUGUUCUCUCCUGGGCCUGGCCUUUGAGGCUGGAACCAAAGCUUGGACCUGCCUUCCUCAGUGACACCCAGUUCCACCCGAGCUGCCCGGGCAGAGUUCAGAGCCAGGCCUGCGUGACCGUGGGGCAGUGGAUGGCAGCUUACCACAGAGUUCCUGGUAAUAAACUCUAUUUGAAGACUCUCAGUGAAAAGUGUGUUCCUAAUAGAGGAUAACAUUUCAUGGUCAUUAUGCGAUACACUUAACUUUAAAAGGAACAAAAAUGCUGAGAAAGUAAUUUUCUGAAAAGGACUCCCGGAUUUCAUUACUAUGGGUCAAGUGCCUGGGGAGAAGAAUUAAAGAAAAACACGAACUUGUGCACAAAUUAAUUAAAGAUAUUUCCACUAAUAAAUUGUCCCCAUAUCCCAAGGCAGAGCCUUCAGUUUGCAAAAUGUGGUAAUAUUCAAGUUGUGGUUUUCUCCACCAGGCAAGCGGUUCAGCUACAUUUAAAAUCAAAUGGACAGAGAUGGGGAUGUGGAGUUGGGGAACGGGAGGGGGCUUGCUUUCUGCUUCAGCCCAUAUAAAAUUGAAGGUAUUUUAGUGCAUUUCUGAAAAACUGAAAAAAAAAAAAAAA
rnacentral:lncRNA from 1 species